rnacentral:lncRNA from 1 species
UUUACAAACUUUCCAUACUCCAUACAAGUAAGACAUUUCAGUUAACAAAAAUUGUCAUAACUCAAUUGAACAAUUCAAAGAAGGCAAAGGCUCUUUAUAACAAACUCAUUUUGGGUGACAAAAAGGAUAGAGGCGUGAGUUCAUGGAAAGAGAAUAUAUCAUGUAUAACCCAGUUCAAAACAAUAUCCAACAAUCAUUUGCAAACAAUACUGCCCAAAUUACUCGUGUUAUGCCACUCAAGUCAUCACACGUCAAUCAAAUAAUCACCAUAUCCUGUAUGGGAUUUUAUGGUCACAUCUACAACAUGUAUCUCUCUCUCUCUCACUCACACUCACACACACACAUAUACCAUCAUAUACCAUGUAUAUACAUGGAAAGAGACCUAAGAACAUGGAACAUGUAUCUUCUCUCUCUCUCUCUCACUCACAAACACACACACAAAAAUUAUACCAUUAUAUACCAUGUAUAUACAUGGAAAGAGACUAAGAACAUGGAAAGGAAUAUAAUGUACAACUCAGUUCCAAACAAUAUCCAACAAUCAUUUGCAACCAAUGCUGCCAAAUUACUCGUUUAUGCACUCAAGUCAUCACAUGUCAAUCAAAAAUCACCAUACCUGUAUGGGAUUUUAUGGUCACUCAACAACAUGUAUCUCUCUCUCUCUCUC